AUUGAACGCUGGCGGCAGGCCUAACACAUGCAAGUCGAGCGAGCGGCGGACGGGUGAGUAAUGUAUGGGAAACUGCCUGAUGGAGGGGGAUAACUACUGGAAACGGUAGCUAAUACCGCAUACUAUCAGAUGUGCCCAGGUGGGAUUAGCUAGUAGGUGGGGUAACGGCUCACCUAGGCGACGAUCCCUAGCUGGUCUGAGAGGAUGACCAGCCACACGGGAACUGAGACACGGCCCAGACUCCUACGGGAGGCAGCAGUGGGGAAUAUUGCACAAUGGGCGCAAGCCUGAUGCAGCCAUGCCGCGUGUGUGAAGAAGGCCUUAGGGUUGUAAAGCACUUUCAGCGGGGAGGCGUUACCGGCAGAAGAAGCACCGGCUAACUCCGUGCCAGCAGCCGCGGUAAUUC
rnacentral:rRNA from 1 species